rnacentral:rRNA from 1 species
GGUUAAGUGAAUAAGGGCGCACGGUGGAUGCCUUGGCACUAGGAGCCGAUGAAGGACGGGACUAACACCGAUAUGCUUUGGGGAGCUGUAAGUAAGCUAUGAUCCAGAGAUUUCCGAAUGGGGGAACCCAAUAUCUUUUAUAGGAUAUUACUUUUCAGUGAAUACAUAGCUGAUUAGAGGUAGACGCAGAGAACUGAAACAUCUUAGUACCUGCAGGAAGAGAAAGAAAAUUCGAUUCCCUGAGUAGCGGCGAGCGAAACGGGAAGAGCCCAAACCAACAAGCUUGCUUGUUGGGGUUGUAGGACUCCAAUAUGGUAGUCUGUUAGUAUAGUUGAAGGAUUUGGAAAAUUCCGCUAAAGAGGGUGAAAGCCCCGUAGACGAAAUGCUAACAACACCUAGGAGGAUCCUGAGUACGGCGGAACACGAGAAAUUCCGUCGGAAUCCGCGGGGACCAUCCCGCAAGGCUAAAUACUCCCUAGUGACCGAUAGUGAACCAGUACCGUGAGGGAAAGGUGAAAAGCACCCCGGAAGGGGAGUGAAAUAGAUCCUGAAACCGUGUGCCUACAACAAGUCAAAGCUCGUUAAUGAGUGAUGGCGUGCCUUUUGUAGAAUGAACCGGCGAGUUACGAUUGCAUGCGAGGUUAAGUCGAAGAGACGGAGCCGCAGCGAAAGCGAGUCUGAAUAGGGCGAAUGAGUAUGUAGUCGUAGACCCGAAACCAUGUGAUCUACCCAUGUCCAGGUUGAAGGUGCGGUAAAACGCACUGGAGGACCGAACCCACGUACGUUGAAAAGUGCGGGGAUGAGGUGUGGGUAGCGGAGAAAUUCCAAACGAACUUGGAGAUAGCUGGUUCUCUCCGAAAUAGCUUUAGGGCUAGCCUCGGAAUUGAGAAUGAUGGAGGUAGAGCACUGUUUGGACUAGGGGCCCAUCUCGGGUUACCGAAUUCAGAUAAACUCCGAAUGCCAUUCAUUUAUAUCCGGGAGUCAGACUGCGAGUGAUAAGAUCCGUAGUCGAAAGGGAAACAGCCCAGACCACCAGCUAAGGUCCCAAAAUAUAUGUUAAGUGGAAAAGGAUGUGGGGUUGCACAGACAACUAGGAUGUUGGCUUAGAAGCAGCCACCAUUUAAAGAGUGCGUAAUAGCUCACUAGUCGAGUGACCCUGCGCCGAAAAUGUACCGGGGCUAAACAUAUUACCGAAGCUGUGGACUACACCAUUAGGUGUAGUGGUAGGAGAGCGUUCUAAGGGCGUUGAAGGUCGAUCGUGAGGACGGCUGGAGCGCUUAGAAGUGAGAAUGCCGGUAUGAGUAGCGAAAGACAGGUGAGAAUCCUGUCCACCGUAUGACUAAGGUUUCCUGGGGAAGGCUCGUCCGCCCAGGGUUAGUCGGGACCUAAGCCGAGGCCGAUAGGCGUAGGCGAUGGACAACAGGUUGAUAUUCCUGUACCAGUUGUUUUUGUUUGAGCAAUGGAGGGACGCAGUAGGCUAAGGAAUGCAUGCGAUUGGAAGUGCAUGUCCAAGCAAUGAGUCUUGAGUAGAGUUAAAUGCUUUACUCUUUAAGGACAAGUUGUGACGGGGAGCGAAAUAAUAGUAGCGAAGUUCCUGAUGUCACACUGCCAAGAAAAGCUUCUAGUGAGAAAAUAACUGCCCGUACCGUAAACCGACACAGGUAGUCGAGGAGAGUAUCCUAAGGUGAGCGAGCGAACUCUCGUUAAGGAACUCGGCAAAAUGACCCCGUAACUUCGGGAGAAGGGG